GGGCUUAGUGGCUCCCGGGUGAGUAACGCGUGAGAAUCUGGCCAUAGGUUGGGGACAACCACUGGAAACGGUGGCUAAUACCGAAUAAGCCGAGAGGUGAAAGAUUAAUUGCCUAAGGAAGAGCUCGCGUCUGAUUAGCUAGUUGGUGGGGUAAGAGCCUACCAAGGCACCGAUCAGUAACUGGUCUGAGAGGAUGGCCAGUCACACUGGGACUGAGACACGGCCCAGACUCCUACGGGAGGCAGCAGUGGGGAAUUUUCCGCAAUGGGCGAAAGCCUGACGGAGCAAUACCGCGUGGGGGAGGAAGGCUCUUGGGUCGUAAACCUCUUUUCUCAGGGAAGAACAAAAUGACGGUACCUGAGGAAUAAGCAUCGGCUAACUCCGUGCCAGCAGCCGCGGUAAUACGGAGGAUGCAAGCGUUAUCCGGAAUGAUUGGGCGUAAAGCGUCCGCAGGUGGCAGUACAAGUCUGCUGUUAAAGGUCAAGGCUUAACUUUGAACAGGCAGUGGAAACUGUACAGCUAGAGUGCGGUGGGGGCAGAGGGAAUUCCCAGUGUAGCGGUGAAAUGCGUAGAGAUUGGGAAGAACACCAGUGGCGAAAGCGCUCUGCUAGGCCGCAACUGACACUCAGGGACGAAAGCUAGGGGAGCGAAUGGGAUUAGAUACCCCAGUAGUCCUAGCCGUAACGAUGGAUACUAGGUGUAGCUUUGUAUCGACCCAGGCUGUGCCGUAGCUAACGCGUUAAGUAUCCCCCUGGGGAGUACCCCGCAACGGUGAAACUCAAGGAAUUGACGGGGCCCGCACA
rnacentral:rRNA from 1 species